GUUCAUAGGAACCGAAGUGGAAAGGUGGCGCAAGCUACCACUUACAGAUGGGCCCGCGGUGCAUUAGCUAGUUGGUGAGGUAACGGCUCACCAAGGCAACGAUGCAUAGCCGACCUGAGAGGGUGAUCGGCCACACUGGGACUGAGACACGGCCCAGACUCCUACGGGAGGCAGCAGUAGGGAAUCUUCCGCAAUGGACGAAAGUCUGACGGAGCAACGCCGCGUGAACGAAGAAGGUUUUCGGAUCGUAAAGUUCUGUUGUUAGGGAAGAACAAGUACCGUUCGAAUAGGGCGGUACCUUGACGGUACCUAUCGAGGAAGCCCCGGCUAACUACGUGCCAGCAGCCGCGGUAAUACGUAGGGGGCAAGCGUUGUCCGGAAUUAUUGGGCGUAAAGCGCGCGUAGGCGGUUUCUUAAGUCUGAUGUGAAAUCUUGCGGCUCAACCGCAAGCGGUCAUUGGAAACUGGGGAACUUGAGUACAGAAGAGGAGAGCGGAAUUCCACGUGUAGCGGUGAAAUGCGUAGAGAUGUGGAGGAACACCAGUGGCGAAGGCGGCUCUCUGGUCUGUAACUGACGCUGAGGUGCGAAAGCGUGGGGAGCGAACAGGAUUAGAUACCCUGGUAGUCCACGCCGUAAACGAUGAGUGCUAGGUGUUAGGGGGUUUCCGCCCCUUAGUGCUGCAGUU
rnacentral:rRNA from 1 species